rnacentral:rRNA from 1 species
UACAGAGGGUGCAAGCGUUAAUCGGAAUUACUGGGCGUAAAGCGAGCGUAGUCGGUUAUUUAAGUCGGGUGUGAAAGCCCCGGGCUCAACCUGGGAAUUGCAUUCGAUACUGGAUAGCUAGAGUUCGGCAGAGGGAAGCGGAAUUUCCGGUGUAGCGGUGAAAUGCGUAGAUAUCGGAAGGAACAUCAGUGGCGAAGGCGGUUCUCUGGGCCUUACCUGACGCUGAGGAGCGAAAAGCGUGGGGAGCGAACGGG